GCUCCAGGCGCUGAGCUGUCAGCACAGAGCCCGACGCGGGGCUCGAACUCACAAACCGAGCGAGAUCGUGACCUGAGCCGAAGCCGGAUGCUCAACCGACAGAGCCCCCCGGGGCGCCCCUGACCAACCCCUAAGCCUUAUUCACUGACCUCAGCUGGCUGGUUGGGGUCUUUAGAAGUGGGAAGAUGAUCAUCAGAAAACAGGUGUUUUCCCCACCAGAAUCCCUACCCCCAGGGGACUGUCGGAUACACUUUGUUAGCAAGCCCAUGCCAGAGAACAUUCUAGUUGCUGCUUUUCUGUGCUUCGCGUGAGAACAGUGAAAGCUUGAAUCCGUUACCCGUGGCCCAGUGAGACCAGCACUCCCCCUGCCCCCCACACCAGCCUGCGCCCUGGUCACGCCCCUAAUCACGGGCCAUCGCCGAGGACCACUGGCAUUCACUCCGUGUCCCUAAGGAAGAAACACAGCCGUGUCUCUGCCCACGUCAGGCCUCACUGGCUGGAGAGCUGGCCAAGGUCAGGAGCUGGCUGCUAGGUGCUCAGGGUGAGGACCAGGCGUGGGCAUGACGGAGAAGAGGGGACAACAGCUUCGAGCCCAGAGGGGUGGGUCCAUUGUGCCAGUGAGCACUUCCUGCUUGCGAGGGGCCCGGAGCGUCUGGGAGGGUUCGUGCGUGCAAGUGGGAGAAGAAGUCAACCCAGGUCGAUAUAAGGAGAAAAAAGUAAUUAAUUGGGAGGCUAUCGCGUGGGUGCCACAAUGGCCACAAACACUCGAGAGUCAGGUUCUGGGAAAUGGGCGGCUAACAGGCAGGCCCGACCAAAAUCAUGCCAAAGAGCCGGUCGUGUGGCUUCUGUCCCCCACAUACUGGGCUCCCAGCUGGCCUCCUGCAGGUGCCAUCGCCUAAAUGCAUUCUGCCCCCUCCCUGCUUCUCUGGGUCGCCAGCUCCUGAUUCAGAGUCCCAGGUGGGUGGGGCUGGUUGGUUGAAUCAAAGCCACUUGCCACGUCCCUGCUGCCAGGGGGCUGGGAGGACAGUUGAGACCUUGCAGCUUCUGUGGGCUUUGUCUCCCACCAGGACACUAUGGCAGGGAGCCCCCCAAACAUAGGGGUGAGAUCUUGGACAGCCAUUACCACAGGGUGAGACUGCCUGUAGCCUGGAGGAACCUCGAGCCUGCAGACCGGCCAAUGUCAAAUACUGACUUUAUCGUGCGUAAGAACCAACCGGGGCAGCCAGUGUUUUCAAACAGAUCACGGCUCACUCCUGGGUCAUGCAAUCAGUUUAGCGGGUCAUGGCCAGAAGUUUUAAAACGUGAUGUAGAAGAGAAACUCAGAUAUGCAGUAUCGUCAAAGACCCCUCUGCUGCUGGUUGAAUGUGGACAAGAGCGGAGGAGAGACCCUUCGGGACAAGCCUGAGGCCCAUCUACAGGAGAGAUGCUAAGGGCCCAAACCUCAGCGGUGCUCACCAGAACAGAGAGGAGAAGUUCCAGGCAAGAUCAGGAAAGCCAGCGCCGGCUGGAGGCCUGACCAAGAAGAGGACAGGCUCCCCGUUGCCGGGAAGAUCAGCCCAACUGAGACCAACAAUUAUACCAAGUUGCAAAUAAACACAACCCAGGGAGGGUAAAUCUUCCUCCCGGCCAUACUUUCUGCUGGAUUCCAAGAGUGAGCCAGAGAUUUUGCUCUUUGCAAUUUAAUCACAACGUGUUUGCUCCAUGGUUAAGAAAGUGGCUUCACCGGGGUGUUUGUGUGGCUCAGUCGGUCGAACGUCUGACUUCGGCUCAGGUCAUGAUCUCGUGGUUCCUGAGUUCGACCCCCGCGUCGGGCUCUGUGCUG